UUCAUGACAAGGUUGUAGCUGGCCCCAUCCGGGCAUGUGCACGCCUUGCUCAUUCCAAUUCUACACCUCUGUGCACUUAACAUGGGUUGGUUGCGGCUCGUCUUUCGGGAUGGGCUUGACCGCCUGUGGUUUUCUACAAACUCAUAUAGUAAUAGAAUGUAAACCGCGUAUAAUAACGCAUCUUAUACAACUUUCAGCAACGGAUCUCUUGGCUCUCGCAUCGAUGAAGAACGCAGCGAAAUGCGAUAAGUAAUGUGAAUUGCAGAAUUCAGUGAAUCAUCGAAUCUUUGAACGCACCUUGCGCUCCUUGGUAUUCCGAGGAGCAUGCCUGUUUGAGUGUCAUGGUAUUCUCAACUCCCUAAAUCUUUGCGGAUUUUGGGUGAGUUGGAUGUGGAGGUGAUUGCUGGCGUGUGCGCAUUAGUUUGCGUUGUCGGCUCCUCUGAAAUAAAUUAGCGGAAAUGUUGCCGUGUCAACCUCAGUGUGAUAAUUGUCUACGCUGUUGUUGCUCAGCAAAAUAUAUGUUUCCGCUUCAAAUCGUCUUCGGACAAUUUCUUGACAUCUGACCUCAAAUCAGGUAGGACUACCCGCUGAACUUAAGCAUAUCAAUAAGCGGAGGAAAAGAAACUAACAAGGAUUCCCCUAGUAACUGCGAGUGAAGCGGGAAAAGCUCAAAUUUAAAAUCUGGCAGUCUUUGGCUGUCCGAAUUGUAUUCUGGAGAAGCGUUUUCCGCGCUGGACCGUGUACAAGUCUCUUGGAAUAGAGCGUCAUAGAGGGUGAGAAUCCCGUCUUUGACACGGACUACCAGUGCUUUGUGAUGCGCUCUCAAAGAGUCGAGUUGUUUGGGAAUGCAGCUCAAAAUGGGUGGUGAAUUCCAUCUAAAGCUAAAUAUUGGCGAGAGACCGAUAGCGAACAAGUACCGUGAGGGAAAGAUGAAAAGCACUUUGGAAAGAGAGUUAAACAGUACGUGAAAUUGCUGAAAGGGAAACGCUUGAAGUCAGUCGCGUCAUCCAGAACUCAGCCUGGCUUUUGCUUGGUGUAUUUUCUGGUUGACGGGCCAGCAUCAGUUUUGACCGCUGGAAAAAGGCCAUGGGAAUGUGGCACCUUCGGGUGUGUUAUAGCCUGUGGUCAUAUACAGCGGUUGGGACUGAGGACCGCAGCACGCCUUUAUGGUUGGGGUUCGCCCA
rnacentral:rRNA from 1 species